GCUUACCGGGGAAGGUCAUUGGAAACCGGGGAACUUGAGUGCAGAAGAGGAGAGUGGAAUUCCAUGUGUAGCGGUGAAAUGCGUAGAGAUGUGGAGGAACACCAGUGGCGAAGGCGGCUCUCUGGUCUGUAACUGACGCUGAGGCUCGAAAGCGUGGGGAGCGAACAGGAUUAGAUGCCCUGGUAGUCCAUGCCGUAAACGAUGAGUGCUAAGUGUUAGAGGGUUUCCGCCCUUUAGUGCUGCAGCAAACGCAUUAAGCACUCCGCCUGGGGAGUACGGUCGCAAGACUGAAACUCAAAGGAAUUGACAGGGGCCCGCACAAGCGGUGGAGCAUGUGGUUUAAUUCGAUGCAACGCGAAGAACCUUACCAGGUCUUGACAUCCUCUGACAACCCUAGAGAUUAGGCUUCCCCUUCGGGGGCAGAGUGACAGGUGGUGCAUGGUUGUCGUCAGCUCGUGUCGUGAGAUGUUGGGUUAAGUCCCGCAACGAGCGCAACCCUUGAUCUUAGUUGCCAGCAUUCAGUUGGGCACUCUAGCAAGACUGCCGGUGACAAACCGGAGGAAGGUGGGGAUGACGUCAAAUCAUCAUGCCCCUUAUGACCUGGCUACACACGUGCUAUAAUGGGCAGAACAACG
rnacentral:rRNA from 1 species